UACGGGGGGGGCAAGCGUUGUUCGGAAUUACUGGGCGUAAAGCGUGCGUAGACGGCUAUCUAAGUCGGGUGUGAAAGCCCUCGGCUCAACCGAGGAAUUGCACGAGAAACUGCGUGGCUCGAGUCCGGGAGAGGAUAGUGGAAUUCCCAGUGUAGCGGUGAAAUGCGUAGAUAUUGGGAGGAACACCGGUGGCGAAGGCGGCUAUCUGGACCGGUACUGACGCUGAUACGCGAAAGCCAGGGGAGCAAACGGG
rnacentral:rRNA from 1 species